UACGUAGGAGGCGAGCGUUAUUCGGAAUUACUGGGCGUAAAGCGCACGUAGGCGGCUUUGUAAGUAAGAGGUGAAAGCCUGGAGCUCAACUCCAGAAUUGCCUUUUAGACUGCAUCGCUUGAAUCAUGGAGAGGUGAGUGGAAUUCCGAGUGUAGAGGUGAAAUUCGUAGAUAUUCGGAAGAACACCAGUGGCGAAGGCGGCUCACUGGACAUGUAUUGACGCUGAGGUGCGAAAGCGUGGGGAGCAAACAGG
rnacentral:rRNA from 1 species